ensembl:lncRNA LINC00466 long intergenic non-protein coding RNA 466
GUGGGAAGGAAGGGAGCGGAAAGGCCGAGCGCCACCCGCCCCGGGAGUCUCCAGAGCAGCGCGCGGGGCAGACCUCCUCGGGUCCUCCGGCGCUUCGGUCUCCGGAGACGCCCGGCCUCCUGAAGGGUUCGGCUUGUCCUCCUCUGGCGCUCAGCUCCCUCUGGCGGCCGGGCUGGCAGGACCUCAGCGCCCAGCCCUUCCGUCUUGUUACGUCCAGGGUCUCACUCUGUGUCUCAGGCUGGAGUACAGUGGUGCAAUUGUAGAUGGCUGCAGCCCUCGACCUCCUGGGCUCAAGUGAUCCUCCUGCCUUAGCCUCUCGAGUAGCUGGGAGUACAGAUGCACACCACCACACCCAGCCUAGAAUGAAGAAACCUGCAGUUGGGAAGCAUGAAUUUACCACCUAUUAAGAUCCCCUUUUAUUUUUCAGAAUUGUGGCUUGCAUUGUAAGAGGAGCCUGUGAAUUCAGAGGCAAGUCUGCUGAGGACCGAAUGUUCCUGUCCAUAAAAACAGAAGUCUGGCCUGGGCUCCUCUCUUGGGUGAAUUUGCAAUGCCAGAUCCUCUCUAUCAGUUUGGUUUUGUUUCUUGUAUCUCUGGGAAGGCAGGCAGACAGCACGGUCACCUGUGAAUGCAGCUACAAUUGGCUUAGCUGCCUCACUGAUAAAUGUGCCCCCAGUAAGCUACAAAGGGAUUACCAGCGUUCUCAGCAGCUAAAGGAACUGGUGAAGAUUUCCCCAGCAAAAAGUAGAAGCUCAGUGUUUCAUAGAUGAAGACUGGGGAGAUUGCAAAAGACCCAUCCAGCAGUGGUUCUCAGACCUCAGUGUGCAUCAGAAUCACCUGGAAGGCUUGUGAAAACACGUAUUGCUGGGCCACACCCCCAGAAUUUCUGGAUCAGUAAAGCUGGGAUUCUUACUUUGAGUAGCCAACUUGCAGAAUACAAUAGAAUUUUGGGAGGAGCCCCUCGAUGCCUGGCUUUACUGUUGGAGAGACAGUACAGUAUACACCAGAUGACUUAUUUGUGAACCAUGGAAACGUUUGGAAAAGGGAUCUGGAACCAAACCCACACUAUCUCCGAGGCAUGCCUGUAUAAGUUUUAUGUGACAUGGCUGCUUUCAGAAAUGAAGACCCAAAGAAACUGGGAAAACUGUAUUUUUAUGGACAGCCAUGCAGUAUGAUUGGAGGACAAAGACUAUGAUAUAAUUGUAAUAAACUGGGGGAAC